rnacentral:ncRNA from 1 species
UAAAUUAUUACAUGAUUUGAGAAUAGAUAUAAUAAAUUAAAAAUUUAAUAAAAUUUAAAUAAUUUAAUAAAUAAUUAAAAAUAUAAUGUUUAAUAUGAUAUUAAUUAUUAUGAAAAUAAUAAAUAGAAAGUUUUAUUUAAUAUAAAUAAAUUUAGUGCCAGCAAUUGCGGUUAUACUAAAUAUAUGAAUAAUUUAAUAAUUAUUAAUUAAUAAAAGUUAUUAUACAAUAAUUAUAUAUAAUUAGAAUUAAUUUAUUAUUUGAUGAAAUAUUAAUAAUUUAAUGAUAAUUAAAUUAAUUUAUUUAUAAAAUUAUGAAAAUUUAGCAAAUAAAUUAGGAUUAGAUACCCUAUUAUAUAAAAUAAAAUAGAAGAUUAAAAUAUUAAAUGAUAAAUUCAUUAAAAAAUAAAGAAUUUGGGGGAAUUUAUUAAAUUUAAAGGGACUUGUUAUGUAAUUGAUAUUCCACGAUUGGAUAAACUUAAUUAAAUUCUUAUAUAUUGUUGUUAAAAUUAUUUUAAUAGAAAAAUAAUUAUAAUUUUUUUUUAAAAAAAAAUUCAAAUCAAAAUGUAGAAUAAUUAAGUAUAAAUGAGUUACAAUUUAUUUAUGUAUAAUAUAAGUAGAAAUUAAUUUUUAAAAAUUUAUUUGAAAAUGGAUUUAAAAGUAAAAUUAUUUAAUUUAAUAAUUUGAAUAUAUUAAUAAAUUACUACAAAUUGCCCGUCAUUUUCAAUUAAUUUGGAGAAAGUCGUAACAAAGUAAAUAUACUGGAAAGUGUAUUUAG